AAGUUAGGAGCGGUUUUGGGAAUUGUGUAUCACAAUUGUAUGUUUGAGUUCUGCUCAAACGUAAGUAGAGUGUGAGUGGAAUGUGAUUGAAAGAUGAUUAGAAGGUGAUUGGAAGUACCUGGCUUGUGGCCCUGACUCUCUAUUUAUAAUUUGUCUCAUGGACCUUGAACUGAUAUAAGCCCAACAAAAUAAAAUAUAAACA
rnacentral:lncRNA from 1 species